GACCUGGUAGCACAGUGUUGAGUGCGCCUGCUUUUUGUGAUUUUUCAUAAUAGAGUCUUAGGCAGGAGACCCCGGUUCGAGUCCGGGUCAGGUCA